ACUACGCCUACAUGAAGCUGGAGUUGCUGUAAUCGCGAAUCAGCAUGUCGCGGUGAAUACGUUCCCGGGCCUUGUACACACCGCCCGUCACACCAUGAGAGUUGGCAAUACCCAACGUACGUGAUCUAACCCGCAAGGGAGGAAGCGUCCUAAGGUAGGGUCAGCGAUUGGGGUGAAGUCGUAACAAGGUAUC
rnacentral:rRNA from 1 species